CCAGGUGCAAGUGGCACAUGCCUACAGUCCCAGAUUCUUGGGUGGCUGCAGUGGGAGAAUUGCUUGAGUCCAGGAGUUCUGGGCUGUAGUGUACUAUGCCAAUCGGGUGUCUGCACUAAGUUCAGCAUCACUAUGGUGACCUUCCUGGAGCAGACCACCAGGUUGCCUAAGGAGGGGUAAAAGGACCCAGGUUGGCAAUGGAGCACAUCAGAACUUCCAUGCUGCUCAGUAGUGGGACCAUGCCUGCAAAUAGCCACUGCAUUCCAGUGAGGCCCUGUCUUGGAAGAGAGGAA
ensembl:misc_RNA Metazoa_SRP Metazoan signal recognition particle RNA